rnacentral:rRNA from 1 species
CUACUACCGAUUGAAUGGCUUAGUGAGGCGUUCGGAGAGCCUAUAAGGUGCUGGCAACAGUGCUUUACUGGUUCAAAGUUCUACGAACUUGGUCAUUUAGAGGAAGUAAAAGUCGUAACAAGGUU